ACUUAAAUAGCUUAUAUAGAGUAUAAUAUUGAAGAUAUUAGGGAAAUUAAUUUAAUUUUUAAGUA
rnacentral:tRNA from 1 species